rnacentral:rRNA from 1 species
UUCCGGUUGAUCCCGCCGGAGGCCACCGCUAUUGGGGUUCGGCUAAGCCAUGCKAGUGGAGGGCGUCCCGCGAGGGAUGGMCCCGCACACGGCUCAUUAACACGUAGUCAACUUACCCUCGGGACGGGGAUAACCUCGGGAAACUGAKGACAAUCCCCGAUARGUGAGGGACRCUGGAAUGCCCCCUCACUCAAAUCCUCCGGGGCCCRAGGAUAGGACUGCGGCCUAUCAGGCUGUUGGUGGUGUAACGGACCACCAAACCUACAACGGGUACGGGCGAUGGGAGUCGGAGCCCGGAGAUGGGGACUGAGACAAGGCCCCAUGCCCUACGGGGCGCAGCAGGCGCGAAAACUCCGCAAUGCGCGAAAGCGUGACGGGGGAACCCCAAGUGCCGUUGGUCCUUUGAUCGACGGCUUUUGUGGAGUGUAAGAAGCUCCACGAAUAAGGGCUGGGUAAGUCGGGUGCCAGCCGCCGCGGUAAUACCCGCAGCCCGAGUGGUGGUCGCGAUUAUUGGGCCUAAAGCGCUCGUAGCCGGGCUGGCAAGUCCCUUGUGAAAUCGGGCGGCCUAACCGUUCGGCUGGCAAGGGAUACUGCCGGCCUUGAAGCCGAGAGACGUCAAGGGUACUCCAGGGGUAGCGGUGAAAUGCUCUGAUCCUCAGGGGACCACCAUGGCGAAGGCGCUUGACGAGAACGGACCUGACGGUGAGGGGCGAAGGCUAGGGAGCKAACGGGAUUAGAUACCCCGGUAGUCCUAUCUGUAAAGGAUGCGGGCCAGGUGUCUGGUGUUCCUCGAGAGCACCAGGUGCCGGAAAGAAUUCGUUAAGCCCGCCGCCUGGGAAGUACGGUCGCAAGGCUGAAACUUAAAAAAGUUGG